rfam:Salmo salar isolate Sally breed double haploid chromosome ssa12, whole genome shotgun sequence.
UGCAUUCACUACUAUAAGUCGCUCUGGAUAAGAGCAUCUGCUAAAUGACUCAAA